GAAUCUUAGACAAUGGGGGAAACCCUGAUCUAGCCACGCCGCGUGAUCGAUGAAGGCCUUAGGGUUGUAAAGAUCUUUCAGCUGGGAAGAUAAUGACGGCACCAGCAGAAGAAGCCCCGGCUAACCCCGUGCCAGCAGCCGCGGUAAUACGGUGGGGGCCAGCGCUAUUCGGAUUUACUGGGCGUAACGCGCACGCAGGCGGAGCAGAAAGUUAGGGGUGAAAGCCCGGGGCUCAACCUCGGAACUGCCUCUAAAACUCCUGGUCUUGAGGUCGAGAGAGGUGAGUGGAAUUCCGAGUGUAGAGGUGAAAUUCAUAGAUAUUCGGAGGAACACCAGUGGCGAAGGCGGCUCACUAGCUCGAUACUGACGCUGAGGUGCGAAAGCGUGGGGAGCAAACA
rnacentral:rRNA from 1 species